ensembl:lncRNA
AUUCUUUGCUGCUCUUCUUAAAGCAGAGAUUGUAUUGGGAAUGAAUCUGGCAAUUUGACAUAGUGGCAUUUUCCUAGGACUCACUUCUCUCCUCCCAACACUCUGCUUGAUAAGCAGAUGGAACAAUCUAGAUGUCUUGCCGAUUUCAUUUGGCUGCUUCACUUACGUGAGCAGGAAAUGGGCUUUUACAAAUAUAUGAAAGCAAAAAGUAGUGAAUGUAAAAUUUUCAAAAGUGCCUAAAUCUCAUUUGCAGUGACUUAGCGACCUCUGAACAGAUUUUUAAAGGUAUUUUCAAAAACUUAGCUGCUUUUGGAAAUUUUACUUCUAGAAAAGUAGUCCCAUUAAUAAAUUAGGAGGGGAAUAAAAUUAAGGAGGAAUCACAAAUAAGUAAGAUAUUCUGCUCCUUUUCUAAAUCUAGCCUCAGGAGUAAAAGUCUGUACAAUUAGGAAGCAAUGAACAACAAGCUUUUUAAAAUAGCUCUUGAUAAAAAAUUGGGAAAUUUGAACAGACACAAAUCAGUCACUCCAGAUGAGAGGUAAAAUUUUCACUCAACUCCCCUCAGCUCAUGUGUUACUGAUUUGGGCUCUGAUUUAACAUUUCCCUAUGAUUUUACCGGGAAUAAAAGUGAAGCUAACUGGAUAUGUAUGGUCAGAAUCCCUCUUACUUCUUUGCACUCAAAGAAAAUUUUACAUGAUAUGUCCUAGGCUGUUAAAGGAAUGAACCAUAAAGCUUAGUGAACAAUUGACAAUUGGUUUUAAGAAGUUAUGAAGAUCUGGGGAGGUAGCAGAAAACUGGACAAAAGGAAAUGUCGUAUGAGAUGUCCAAAGAGGCUUUGCAUGGACCAAACUGAACAUUUUCCCAAAUGGAGCAGGUGGGAGCACCAGGGGCCAAGGAUCAGCAGGACUCGCUGGAAGAAGAAAGCUCAGAAAUCCCCUCCUUUGCACAGGGCUGCCCAGGUCAGGAGAGAAGUGUGUAUGAGAAGAGCUACAAGGAGAAGAUCCACCUGAAGCGUCAUAAGACCCUCCACUUCUGGAGGAAGCUGUUCAAGAGCAGGAGGUGCUUCCUGCAGACAUGGGAGCUGACGAUGCACCAGAGGACCCACACAGGUGAGAAGUUGUACAGCUGCAGCCAGUGUGCCAAGAGCUCCAGCCAGAUCUCCAACUUCUGGCAUUGGCGCAUCCACACCAGUGAGCGGCCCUUUCGCCUGCCCCCAGGAUCAGUGGUGUUUUGGCCUCUGCUGCGGCCUCACCACUCACCAGAAGAUGCACACCAGGGAGGCCCUCCCUGUGCUGAACACCAGGAAGGCCAUUGCAGAGGGUUAGAGGAGAGGAGAUCGUGGCCAAGUGAAACCCCUUGCCCCACCAUGGAGAUAGGCAUUCUGGUAACAUUGUGUGUGUGAAUGGCUUACAGAGGGUGUACAUGACUCAUGUGUGUGACUAACAUGUCACAAUCAUAUUGUUAUAUAUUUGUUAUUUGUAUUGUGGUAGCUCCUGGGUUCCCCACAGACCCCAUUGUGCCAGGCGCUGUGCAGACGCAGCACAAAAAGACGCGCAGAGCUGAUGAGCAACAGGUAUCCUUCCUAAGGUGCUUAGCUGGCCCCUAUCCCUGUCUUACUGGAACAUCUCACAACUAACAAUGUUUAUCCUCACAGCGCCCCCACGAGGUUGAAAAGUGCUAUUGUCCCCAUUCUGCAGAUCUGAGGGCACAGAGAGGGUUGUUGACUUGCCCAAUGCCACCCGUGAAAUUUGUGCCAGAUUAGGGACCUGAACAUGGGUCUCUCAAAUCACACCUGGCCCACAGGGCCAUCCUGCCCCUUGCAGAGACCUCACAAGCACAUCUGUAGAAGAUGUUAUAGCUGGUUAUGAGCAACUUGUUGACCUGUUGGAUUCUUUUAACAAUUGAUGACCCAUUCUUUCAAACCUUUUAAUAAUUUCUUAACAUGUUUUAUAAACUGUUGGUAAAUGGAACUUCAAUAUAAAGCAUAAGCAACUUUCUCAUAAUUGUGUACUGUAGCCUAUAGGACUAACCUGCUUGCUUGUGUAUAUCUAUAUCUAUAUCUAUAUCUAUAGAUAUAGAUAUAGAUAUCUUUUCUUAUAGUUUAAGUAUUUGGGUUUAUUGUAAUAGGUUUAUAGAUUUCUAUUAAAGUAAGUUUGGUUGUAAUGCAAGAGACCAACAGGCCAUAUCCUGUAUGUUAAGCUAAGGCAAAGUUAGUAUACCUAUAUUAAGACCUUUUACUCAGAAAGCAAAGUUGACCUAUAUCUUGUUACCUAAAUAGAUGAGUCUCCAUGCCUAUGUCCAUGACCUUUUAUGUAAACCAAUAAACAAUGGAGAAUGGCAUAGAGGAGUUUUCAGUGUUAUACCGACAGACUUAACAAGUCCACCAUAAAAGACUGAUGUGCGUACAUACCUGUCAACAAUAUGCACAUACAUAUUAGCCUAUGGGGUAAGUGUACCUAUGGGUGAGGAAUGAAAUUUGGGCAUAAGAGGAAGGAUUUCCAGCAUUUGCCCUAUAAAAGAGGUGACCCACCUCGAUAGAGUACUCCAUCUCCAUUCUCACUUUACUCUAUUCUCACUUACUUCCUCCACUCUAUUCUAUCUAUCUACAAUGGCUACUACUAUCAGUAGGCUCUACUUGUUCUUCUUAAACUUUAAGUUUCAAGGGAACUAGGCUAAGCUUGGUUUCCCUAAGUUUUACUCUUAAUUUAUUUGGCUUUGAUUUUAAGUUUAAAUUAGUCAAGUAAACCCUAAAUUUGCUUUAAUAGCUCGUGGAAUUAGUUUCUUCUAAGCACUGCAUCCCUCACUCGAGAAUUGUGAAACCUGAACUGCAAGGCUGUUCCUGUGUUUCUUACUACCAGGUUAUCAAGGAAGAGUGUGAGUAUAUUAACCAAAGCUUUGUUGCAUAUGAUACCAUAUUAUCAUAUGUAUCUUUUGAAUAGCAGUAAUGCAACUGUAACUUUGUAACUCUGGUAUUUUACCAUUUACUUACUAUUAUUGAUUUUAAUAAAAAGUCUUUACGACUUUAUCUGUCUCAGUGUGAGCUUCCCGUCAUACUCCUGAGGGUCCUUUUAUAAAUUCUGUGGAGCUUGAUUUGGGACAAGAACUUUUAUCUUCUGAUCAAACAGACUGGCGAGCCUAAAACUCAUACUAAUUAAUAUUAAUAAUUUAUUAUUAUUAAAUACAUAAAUAAAAAUUAAAUUAAUAAAUUAAAUUCCCUUAUUAUCCAAAUUGAUAUUAUCAGUACACCCUAAAUAAGGCUACAGUACACAGACUUAAAUAAGGCUUGAGGAGUGAAAGCUGCUUAUGACAGAGGCUGAGAGAAAUCAGCUUGACCUUCACAGACAUGCCAAACCUGCCAUCCCCUUCAGUCUCCACCAGGAAUCUCACAUCAGCAGCAGACAAGAAUUUUGGUUGGGUUCAUGAGUGGGUUUCUCCAUUUGUGGGGUGAAGGGUGUCCCAUGAUGUGCAGCUGAAAGGGCAUAAAAUCCUCUCCUAAUGUUGCUUUUUCGUGCAAGAAAUUGCUGGCAUUGUCACAAGGGUGUAAUGGGAUUGCAUCCGUGAGGGGGCAGUGUCCAGGAGGCAAACUCUCUGCUAACAAAACUGAGAAUCCAUGACUGAGCAGGCUCAGGUGAGCUGGACUUCCAGGUGAAAGGAGGAAAGGAGGAGUUGCAUAUGGAAGAAUCUUGGCAAAGAGGAGUAGAGACCCUGAUAACACAGAUCCAGGGUAGCACUAAGCAUGGGACUUAUUCCCAUAUUGCAGGCCAGUGUAUCAAACGUGCAUUAAGUGUGAUUGCUGGACUAAAGGGAGCUGCGUGGCAACACUGGAGAAGCGAUUGAGGAUUGAAUUGCGAGCGUCUAAUCAUGCAACAAUUUGUAGUUCAGUUUUGAAGGCAGACCAGUGAGGUUUGAAUGAUGAUUUUUCCCUCCAUAGUUUCCUGUAUGUAAAUAUUUCCUUCUGAGCUAGUGUAAAUUGCCUCUCUCAUUAUUUGAUCCAUUUGGUUGAUUUAACCUGGAGCUUUGAGUGUCUAGAAUAGUCAUAAAACUUCUUUCCAAAUACCCUCUAGUGCUGUAAUUAGAAUUCCUUUAUAGUUAUGAAUGUUCAGAGGGUCUAAUCUCACAAUCAGCCACUUUCAUAAGAACGUAAGAAUGGCCACACUGGUCAGACCAAAGGUCCAUCUAGCCCAGUAUCCUGUCUUCCGACAGUGGCCCAGGCCAGUGCCCCAGAGGGAAUGAACAGAACAGGUCAUCAUCAAGUGACCCAUCCCCUGUCACUCAUUCCCAGCUUCUGGCAAACAAGUUAUGUGGUACUCUGUUACAUCUAAUACGAGGGGGUCAAGAAGACAGCUCCUGCUCUCAGUAACAUCCAGGCCGAGCUACGGGUUUGGUGGGUAGCACAAAUACAUUUCAGAUUGCUCAUUAGCAAAGCCACUACUCGUUUUGGUGAGGAGGCUGUUGUGACACACUUGGUUAUGGACUCAGGAUAUGGAGAUCAUGUCACCCAUCCCACCUCCCUAUCACUGGGGGAUUGUUUCUCAGUGUACAUAGUUUUAGCCACUAGAUUGUCCUCAGGUCUAUGGCUUCACUGCAGGCUCAGGAAAAGGAGCCAGGAAGGAGCACGAGUCCUUAUUUCAAGCAAAUGCUGUGACGUGAAAACGAGAAAAAACAAUGGGGUCUGGGGCUGGAGUCCAAAGGCAAUUGCAUCCCGCAGUGGGGACUUGGUAGCACUUCUCUCUCUGGCAAUGGAGAGACUAGUACGCUGCAUUCAAUCCUGGGCACCGCGGUACCUGAAUGAUGUUGAUUCAAUAGAAAGAAUAUGAAGAGGCGCAACCAAAAUGAUUUGGAGGCAGGAAUCAUCCCAAGGAAAGAACUAAGGAUGCAUCCAGCUAGGAUGUGUUUGUGCUGUGCCUAGAACACAAGGGAGCUGAGUCUGACUGAGACAGCUGGAAGCUUCAGUAAUAUAAUUAUAGGAAAAGAAUAACUGCAAAACAUAUGGUCUAACUUCUUUGUCAAAAUAGUUUAUUUAACAAAACAGCAUUGAAUGCACAAAAGACUUCUGACGUUCAAAACGCAUGCAAAUUAGAGAAGCAAACUCAGUUAAUUUGAAUUGCAUGAGAAAGGGGAUAUAAGCCCAGGUCUUGAUAUUUGUUAACUCAUAUUAAAAAUCGUACUCUUAAAUGGGUUUUCCCUUCACAAAUUGACCCCCCUCCACCUUAAAAAUCAAACCAAAGCACUAGACUGUGCCAAUCUAAAGCACAUCUGAUUGCUAUGAUAUAAAGUUGGAGGGAAGACAGCAUCCUGAAAACCUAUGGGCCAGAUUCUGAUCUAAAUAACACCAGUAUCAAUCCAAAGUAACUCUCUAGUGUCAAUGGAACUCAGCUCAGAAUUGGGCCCUACACUCUCUCCUACACUGGACUAUGACGACAAUGUAACUUUGAAAUUCAAAGCUUCAUAGUUUGUUGAAUCUGUGUCUGCUCUCCCCAGUCUAAAUAAAUGGCCUCUAGUUUCAGUUACAUUUCCUGUGCUUCUUGCUGUACUGGCAUAAUAAGGAACCUUAGUGCUAUGCAUUUUAGGAUCUUACCAACGUGCAUUAAAUAUGACUGGAAAGGCUGUCACCUCUAUCACUCUUUCACAAUCUUAUGAAACGGUAGCACAUUAGGAACUGAUUUCCCUCUCCCAUCCCCAUUAAUGCUUCUGGAUACAAAACUAUGAGCAAAACUUCGUUUGUAAUGAAAGUCACAAAAUGGUAUUUAGUGCAAUAAACUGACCACACCAGACCCAAUAGAUACAUGAGUCGUUUCACAUAAAUGCAGAGAUAAUAUUCACAAAAGAAAUACAAUGCUAAACUCAUCAAAUGUAAAUGAAAAUAAUCCACAACAGUUUUUAGACAUAAUGGAAGACACUAAGCUCCAGGAUGUUGCGCCCUAUAUUUAGA